CAUGUUGCAUCUCUGCGAGUCAGUUUGAGCUCGUGCUGUUUAGAGUGAAAAGAAGGAGGAAAUAAAGAGCGGAACGGUUAUUUAAAAAUGAAAUCAAGUAUUAAGAAAGGUCAGAAGUUCCUCUUGUGUUGUUUAAAGUCGCUCUCACACAGUUUAUACUAAUGCGCUCUCACUGGUGGUCUUGUGAGGCGCAGACAUCUGCUGGCACUUGGAGAAACAAAUAAUCGCUGUUGGAACAAAGUGUGGCUGCUACGCACUGCAGGGUUUGCCGUUAUUACUCAAUUCCUGCUUCAUAUUAUUCAUACUUGUUUUUUUAAACAAAAGUUGAGAGUGUCUGUCCUUCCACAUGCGUUACACAAACUCAACUAAUGACCAAAAAAAGCUAAAACCUCACAGGGUCUCAUGGGAAGAUUUGAAACAGAUUGGAGACAUGAUAAAAAAUCAACAAUUGAAUUAAAACUCACAUCUGGUCUUUUAUUUUUCCACAAGGUGAUUUCAAAACUGAGUGAAUUAAAUGAUAAAAUAAACUGAUUCAACUCGAAGAUUACAAAAAACUUCACUCUCAGGACGGGACCUUUUUAGCAGUUCAUGUUGUAGAGGGCACCUAAAAGCACAACUUUACACAUUUUAUAGACUAAAAUGACAUUUAAAAAGCAUUUUUUAAAAUGUUUUACUCUGGAGGGACAUUCAGAAGGAACUUUAUCUACAUAUCUUCAAAGUGGACGGUCAUCCAAUAGGUAUUUUCACAUUUAAUAUUUGCUUCAUCGGCAUACAGAGGGGACUUUUUACCUUUUACACACUUAAAGGGCACAAUUUUGCAUUUAAUACACACAAAGGCACCCAAAAGGCACUUUUUUUGCAGUUUAUAUGCAAGAGAGGAGCCCUUAUAGACAUCUUUUUUAAUUGAAAUGGCAUCCUGAGGGCACGUUUUUACAUUUUAUAUAUAAGGGAGGGCAUUCAGUGGGCACUUCUACCUAAUUUUUUAAACUGUAAGGGCAUCCUGAAGGACUUUCUUUUCUGUACAGCUACAAAAGUUCACUCUGCAGCUACUGCCUAAGUUUUUUAUGCAGUUUUCACAGAAAGGGAGUCAGAAGUGACGUUUGAUGAUGUUUUAUUUAUAUAUAGAAGCAUCCAAGAGUCGCAUUUUUUCAGGCAUAAGGGCAUCAGGUGGGUGUUUGCCCUGCCUGAGUACAUCAUCGAUUGUAUGUUGUAUUAUGCCUGUUUUAAUCAGGAAAAGAGAUUUUUGGUCUUGAGGAGUUUUUCUGCAGGUCAGAUAACAUCUCAUAAAUUUGUUGUUGUAUCCAUAAAUAAAUGUAAGAUAUCAGCCACGGUGGAAACACAAACGCUUGAGCUAAUAAAACACAAUUAUUGCAAAAAAAUUCUCACUGAGAUAACGCUUAAUCAGGGAACGAGACAGAGGCCGAGAGAGAGAAACAAACACAAAGUAAAACAAAAAAGAGAACAUAGAAAUUGGAAAAAGGAUUAGCGGAUAAGUCAGGAGGGACUACUUCCUUAAACAAGAAGCCUGAGACCCACAAGAGCCUGCACCAAGCAUAGAAAUAUGACACAUAGAACUGUUUCAAAUAGAUUUAUCCUAUUAUUGUAUCAGCAGAUGUAUGCUCUCUUUGCACCAAC